ACACAUGCAAGUCGAACGAGCGAGAGAGAGCUUGCUUUCUCGAGCGAGUGGCGAACGGGUGAGUAACGCGUGAGGAACCUGCCUCAAAGAGGGGGACAACAGUUGGAAACGACUGCUAAUACCGCAUAAGCCCACGGUGCCGCAUGGCACAGAGGGAAAAGGAGCAAUCCGCUUUGAGAUGGCCUCGCGUCCGAUUAGCUAGUUGGUGAGGUAACGGCCCACCAAGGCGACGAUCGGUAGCCGGACUGAGAGGUUGAACGGCCACAUUGGGACUGAGACACGGCCCAGACUCCUACGGGAGGCAGCAGUGGGGAAUAUUGCACAAUGGGGGAAACCCUGAUGCAGCGACGCCGCGUGGAGGAAGAAGGUCUUCGGAUUGUAAACUCCUGUUGUUGAGGAAGAUAAUGACGGUACUCAACAAGGAAGUGACGGCUAACUACGUGCCAGCAGCCGCGGUAAAACGUAGGUCACAAGCGUUGUCCGGAAUUACUGGGUGUAAAGGGAGCGCAGGCGGGAAGACAGGUUGGAAGUGAAAUCCAUGGGCUCAACCCAUGAACUGCUUUCAAAACUGUUUUUCUUGAGUAGUGCAGAGGUAGGCGGAAUUCCCGGUGUAGCGGUGGAAUGCGUAGAUAUCGGGAGGAACACCAGUGGCGAAGGCGGCCUACUGGGCACCAACUGACGCUGAGGCUCGAAAGUGUGGGUAGCAAACAGGAUUAGAUACCCUGGUAGUCCACACUGUAAACGAUGAUUACUAGGUGUUGGAGGAUUGACCCCUUCAGUGCCGCAGUUAACACAAUAAGUAAUCCACCUGGGGAGUACGACCGCAAGGUUGAAACUCAAAGG
rnacentral:rRNA from 1 species